UCUGGCUCGCCAUUGUUUUGAUCUCUCCUGCAAAAAACUGCAGCUCUUUCUUCCGACCUAGACAAGAGAAGAUCAACAUGUUCAUCACAUUAUUGCCCCCGUAAGAGACGAUGUAAAGUCUGUCUGUGGGGACUAACGUUCAAAAACUUCACAUGGAUGCUUUGGAGAAACAAAAACUCUCCUUGUGUGUGUGGGGGGUUUCUCCGGGGUUCUUUUGUUUCCUCCCACAGUUUAAAAACAUGCAGAUUAUGGGAUUGGCACCAGCGACCCUCAUGGUGAGGAUAAAGUGGUAGACAAUCUUCCUACUGCUGUGUCCAACACCAUCUUCUUGAGACUCUGGAUCUCCUCAUGGAUUUCAUGUGCCUCCAUAACAGAAAAAAAGGGGUAUCUGUUAAAUCAUCCAUCAACAAACAGUAAAGGUAACUUUCACCCAAGUCACCCUCAUUCAUUUGAGCAGCGCCACCUCGAGGAGGCAUCAAGUAGCAAUGCCCAGUAAGUG